rnacentral:lncRNA from 1 species
GAACACACUUUUAUAUUUAUGAAGGAGUUGGGGAAAUCCCCCAUACUCUCUUAAGAGAGUUACAAACGCCCAUGAGGGUCUUUAUAUAGGUUUUACACUCUUGCAAACUCAUAAACCUAUAUCUAAUGGAUAGAAAUAACUUAAGAGGAAUGGAUGGUGAGGAUGAGUUGGUCUUGUUGUGAUCUGAGUGAUGUGUGCUGAUUGGAUGAGCUAAGCUGGC